rnacentral:rRNA from 1 species
GAUGAACGCUGGCGGCGUGCUUAACACAUGCAAGUCGAACGGAAAGGCCCAAGCUUGCUUGGGUACUCGAGUGGCGAACGGGUGAGUAACACGUGGGUGGUCUGCCCUGCACUUCGGGAUAAGCCUGGGAAAUUGGGUCUAAUACCGGAUAGGACCACAUUUUGGAUGGUGUGGUGGAAAGUUUUUCGGUGUGGGAUGAGCUCGCGGCCUAUCAGCUUGUUGGUGGGGUAAUGGCCUACCAAGGCGUCGACGGGUAGCCGGCCUGAGAGGGUGUACGGCCACAUUGGGACUGAGAUACGGCCCAGACUCCUACGGGAGGCAGCAGUGGGGAAUAUUGCACAAUGGGCGCAAGCCUGAUGCAGCGACGCCGCGUGGGGGAUGACGGCCUUCGGGUUGUAAACUCCUUUCGCUAGGGACGAAGCGCAAGUGACGGUACCUGGAGAAGAAGCACCGGCUAACUACGUG